GAUGAACGCUGGCGGCGUGCCUAACACAUGCAAGUCGAGCGAACAGAUGCGGAGCUUGCUCGUCUGACGUUAGCGGCGGACGGGAGAGUAACACGUGGAUACCCUACCUAUCAGACUGAGAUAACUUCGGAACACCGGCGCUAAUACCGGAUAAUAUAUUGAACCGCAUGGUUCGAUAGUGAAUGACGGUUUUGCUGUCACUUAUAGAUGCAUCCGCGCCGGAUUAGCUAGUUGGUAAGGUAACGGCUUACCAAGGCAACGAUGCGUAGCCGACCUGAGAGGGUGAUCGGCCACACGGGAGGUGAGACAGGGUCCAGACUCCUGCGAGAGGCAGCAGUAGGGAAUCUUACGCAAUGGGGGAGAGCAUGACGGAGCAACGCGGCGUGAGUGAUGAAGGUGCCCGGAUCGGAAAACUCUGUUAUUAGUGGAGAACAAAUGUGUAAGUAACCGUGCAGGUAGUGACGGUACCGGAUCAAAAAGCCCCGGCUAACUACGUG
rnacentral:rRNA from 1 species